GCCUUUGGGUUGUAAACCUCUUUUGUCAGGGAAGAAAAUUUGACGGUACCUGAAGAAAAAGCAUCGGCUAACUCCGUGCCAGCAGCCGCGGUAAUACGGAGGAUGCAAGCGUUAUCCGGAAUAAUUGGGCGUAAAGGGUCCGCAGGUGGCCAUUCAAGUCUGCUGUCAAAGCCAGUGGCUCAACCACUGAAAGGCAGUGGAAACUGGGUGGCUAGAGUACGGUAGGGGUAGAGGGAAUUCCCAGUGUAGCGGUGAAAUGCGUAGAUAUUGGGAAGAACACCGGUGGCGAAAGCGCUCUACUGGGCCGAAACUGACACUGAGGGACGAAGGCUAGGGGAGCGAAAGGGAUUAGAUACCCCUGUAGUCCUAGCCGUAAACGAUGGAUACUAGGUGUAGCUUGUAUCGACCCGAGCUGUGCCGAAGCUAACGCGUUAAGUAUCCCGCCCUGGGGAGUACGCACGCAAGUGUGAAACUCAAAGGAAUUGACGGGGGUCCGCACAAGCGGUGGAGUAUGUGGUUUAAUUCGAUGCAACGCGAAGAACCUUACCAGGGCUUGACAUGUGGCGAAUCUGGGUGAAAGCCUGGAGUGCCUUAGGGAGCGCCAACACAGGUAGUGCAUGGCUGUCGUCAGCUCGUGUCGUGAGAUGUUGGGUUAAGUCCCGCAACGAGCGCAACCCUCGUUUUUAGUUGCCAUUUUAAUGGCUCUCUAGAGAGACUGUCGGGGACAACUCGGAGGAAGGUGGGGAUGACGUCAAGUCAGCAUGCCCCUUACGCCCUGGGCUACACACGUACUACAAUGGUUGGGACAAAGGGCAGCAAACCCGCGAGGGCAAGCGAAUCUCAUCAAACCCAGCCUCAGUUCAGAUUGCAGGCUGCAACUCGCCUGCAU
rnacentral:rRNA from 1 species